AGAACGAACGCUGGCGGCAGGCUUAACACAUGCAAGUCGAGCGAGGACUUCGGUCCUAGCGGCGAACGGGUGAGUAACGCGUGGGAACGUGCCCCUUUCUCCGGAAUAGCCCAGGGAAACUUGGUUUAAUGCCGGAUACGCCCUUCGGGGGAAAGAUUUAUCGGUGAGGGAUCGGCCCGCGUUGGAUUAGGUAGUUGGUGGGGUAAUGGCCUACCAAGCCGACGAUCCAUAGCUGGUUUGAGAGGAUGAUCAGCCACACUGGGACUGAGACACGGCCCAGACUCCUACGGGAGGCAGCAGUGGGGAAUCUUGGACAAUGGGGGAAACCCUGAUCCAGCCAUGCCGCGUGAACGAUGAAGGCCUUAGGGUUGUAAACUUCUUUUCUCAGAGAAGAAAUAAUGACGGUAUCUGAGGAAUAAGCAUCGGCUAACUCUGUGCCAGCAGCCGC
rnacentral:rRNA from 1 species